AUUGAACGCUGGCGGCAGGCCUAAUACAUGCAAGUCGAGCGGAUGAAGGGAGCUUGCUCCUGGAUUCAGUUGCGGACGGGUGAGUAAUGCCUAGGAAUCUGCCUGGUAGUGGGGGAUAACGUCCGGAAACGGGCGCUAAUACCGCAUACGUCCUGAUGGAGAAAGUGGGGGAUCUUCGGACCUCACGCUAUCAGAUGAGCCUAGGUCGGAUUAGCUAGUUGGUGGGGUAAAGGCCUACCAAGGCGACGAUCCGUAACUGGUCUGAGUGGAUGAUCAGUCACACUGGAACUGAGACACGGUCCAGACUCCUACGGGAGGCAGCAGUGGGGAAUAUUGGACAAUGGGCGAAAGCCUGAUCCAGCCAUGCCGCGUGUGUGAAGAAGGUCUUCGGAUUGUAAAGCACUUUAAGUUGGGAAGAAGGGAAGUAAGUUAAUACCUUGCUGUUUUGACGUUACCAAAAGAAUAAGCACCGGCUAACUUCGUG
rnacentral:rRNA from 1 species